rnacentral:rRNA from 1 species
AGAAUGAACGCUGGCGGCGUGCUUUACACAUGCAAGUCGAGCGAGGCGGGUAGCUUGCUACCCAGUCGAGCGGCGAACGGGUGAGUAACGCGUGGAUGAUCUGCCUUCAGGUGGGGGAUAACCCGGGGAAACUCGGGCUAAUACCGCAUAACAUCUCCGGAUCAAAGGGGGCUGGGUAAACCAGCUCCCGCCAGAAGAGGAGUCCGCGUACGAUUAGCUAGUUGGUAGGGUAAUGGCCUACCAAGGCGACGAUCGUUAGCCGGCCUGAGAGGGUGAUCGGCCACACUGGAACUGAGACACGGUCCAGACUCCGU